GGAAAAGUCAUAAAAAAAGUGUGUUUACUUAUUGUGGAUGAAUUUUUCAGGUAAUGGCUAGAACCAAGGGGCAUUUAAGCAAUGAAGAAAGGUUGAAGCGGAAGAGAGUGUGUGAGAAAAGGAGGCGUGAAAAUAUGAAAAAAGAUCCGGAUAAAUUAAGAGCCCUGAAAGAAAAAAAGCAUGAAAUCUACUUAAAAGCAAAAGAGUCUGGAAAAGUUAAGUUGGUGAAAGACAUGAAUUCACGUGAGAAAAGAAUGUACAAGAAGAAGUGGAGAACAGAAAAAAAAUGCUACAGACAAAAGAAAAAAGAAUGCGAAGGACAUAUGAACACCAGUGACUUCAAAUGAAGAAACAAGUGACCAUGCAAGUACACCACAUCUACCAACAGUUGCAGAAACUUUGAACACAUCACAAAGUAUAAAGGAACAUGGAAGUAGCCAGAAAAAAAGGGGUAGGAAACAAGUUCGUCGGGACAGAGCAAAAGCUUACCGUCAAAUAAAUAAACUCAAAGCCCAAAAUGAGAAACUCAGAAAAAAAUAUGAAAAGUAUAAGAAACGAUACCAAAGAAGUAGGUUAGGUGUAAGCAGCAAGCAAGAUUUGACAACUAAAACUAAGGUAAAUACAUUAUUAAGAGGGAGAAAUGUUGGAAAGGAUAUCAGAAAAAAGCUUCUGUUUGGUGAAGUGAUUUACAAAGAGUUAUCAGAAAACUAUAAGAGAUUAAAAUCACAUGAGAAAGAGAAGCAAAUAUUUACUAAAGCCAUAUCUGGAAAGAUUAUCAAGAAGUAUAGAAUGGCAAAAGAAGCAAAGAAGUUUCUUUCUCGUUCAAUUGCAAAGGGCAACACAAAGCGAUCCAAGAACUAAUGUUAUGAAAGAAUGAAAAGGAAUAGAGUAAAGUACAUUAAAUAUUUGGUAACAACUUUUCUGGAACAGGAUGACAACUCAUGUUUAUGUCCUGGAAAGAAAUACAUGAUUUCAAGGAAAGGUAAACAGAAGCAAAAGAGAUAUUUGACAGACACUAUUAGAAAUCUCCACCUCAAGUUCCAACAAAUUCAGAGUUUCCAAAUAAGCUAUACUGUCUUUUGUAGACUGCGUCCCUUUUGGAUAAUAGCACCAAAGGUGAAUGAUCGAGACACAUGCCUUUGUGUUAAACAUGAGAACUUUAAAUUGAUAGUGCGGAAAAUGCAUUUGUUGAAAAUUUUUGACACCAAUGAUGAAGGGAAGGUAAUUAAAAUGUUGAUGUGUGAGAAAGAAACAGAAGAUUAUUACAGAAGGGUGUGUACUCGUUCUAAAUAUAAAACUUUGUGUUACAAAGUCUUUGACUAUCACCAACUGACUUUAAAGCAGUGGAUAACUAAGAAAGAGAAAGUUAUAAGUAAAAAGACAAAAUUAGAGAUUGAAGUAAAGAAGACUGUGAAAGAUGAAGUUCAUUUAAAUGUGGGUGAUUUUGUGGACAUGUUUUAAAAUAGUAUAGUGAGUUUCAUGCAACACAAGUUCAACAUCAAACAUCCGUAUUCAGUCAUGUCAAAACUAAAGAAGAAUUUACAGUGUACAGACAUCCUAUUCCACAUAGAUUUCUCGGAAAAUUAUAUGUGCAAAUAUGCUGCUGAAGCAGUGUGUUCACUUUAGGGCAGUGUGUUCACUUUAGGGCUUCGAGGGAACAGGUCACCCUUCACACUGGUGUAGUUUAUGCAGAAGGUAGCGUUAAAGAGUCAUUUUGCACUUUAUCUAAAAGCCAUCGUCAUGACGCCUUUGCCAUAGUGGCACAUAUGUCUCCAAUAAUACAGAAGUAUUUAGCUAAGUUUCCAGAUGUUAGAAACCUCCAUUUCUAUUCAGACAGUCCAAGUACACAGUAUCGUAAUAAAACCAUGUAUGCAAUGAUCAAAACUUACAUUCUCAGCAUAUUUCCUGGAAUUGAAAAAAUUUCUUGGAAUUAUUCAGAAUCUGGACAUGGUAAGGGGGCCCCGGAUGGCAUAGGAGGUCUUCUAAAACGUACUGCAGAUCGCCUGGUUGCAGAAGGCAAUGAUAUUUCGAACUUGGAGGUUCUCUUAAGUUCAUUAAUGGCGAACAUUUCUGGUGUGCACAUGGAAGCUGUGAGCGAGGAAGCUGUAAUGGAAAUAGAAUGUAAGGUUGAUAAAGAAACUAUUAUAUUUUUUGCAGGGUCUAUGAAGGUCCAUCAAGUCUGUUGGACAAAGACAAGUAGGCAUUUAAUGUUCCGAGAAUUAGGGUGCUUUGAAUGUCCAACAGAUACAGUAUGCAAGCACUACCAUCUGGGAAUGCAGAUUCCAACUUCAUUAUCAGAUUGUACAAAAGCCUCUAAAGGUUCCAGAGUCUCCUAUGAAAUUGGUAGUUGUGGCCUAUGAUGGAAUUCACUACCCAGGCGAAGUCACAUCAGUAAAUUUUGAUGACGUUGAGGUCAUGGUAAUGCAUCCUACAGUAGGAGGAAAGUACAAAUGGCCAGCACAGAAGGACACAAUGAAAUAUCCUUUUUUUGAUGUGGUGAAAAAGAUUGGCAAUCCUGUACCAUGUAGUUCUCGAGCAACAACCUUUACUUUUCCAGUUUUGCAGUUUUAAUUUUUCUGUUAAAAUUGUGAAGUAAUUUUUAAUGCAUAUUAAUUUCAGUAAUAAAGUUUAUUUUGUA